AGGAGCCGUAUACCGAACGGUACGUACGGUUCUGUGGGAGGUCGGCUACCCAAUUAAUGGGUAGCCUCCUACCCGAU
rfam:Dethiobacter alkaliphilus AHT 1 ctg9, whole genome shotgun sequence.